GCCCCAGGCUGGAUCCCAGUGAGCUGGGAUACACGGCUGGGAUCAGCACCAGGAGCAAUCCCAGGGCCCAGCAGGGAUCACAGCACCAACAGCAAGAGGCGGUUCCCCCAUGCAGAGCUCAGACCCCAAUUCUCUCCCAAAUCAGAUAAAAUAAAAAGGUGAAGACAUGUGAGGAGAACAACAUGGAAACACCAAGGUCACUGGAGAGGGAGGAGGAAGAGGAGAUACUCCAGGCCUCAGAGCUGAAAUUCUUUUGCAAACUGUGGUGAAGGCUGUAGUACACCAGACUGUUUCUCUGUAAUUCAUAAAGUUUGUAGGAGAAUUCAGCGUUCACCCACAGCCCGUGAGAACUGGAAAAUGUAGAUGCUAAAAAAACUGUGAUCUGACUUAGAACCUCUGCUUUCAGAGGUAGAACAGGACUCUGCUUCUAUGUUAGAACAGCUCAUCCUUAAGAAUUGUACCCCUUAAUCCAAAAUGGCCAUGAAUGGUAGUUGUGGAAAGACUUCCAGAGCAUGGGAGGAAUCCCACAUGCAAGCAGGUGCCAGGUGGGCUGUUUAGCCAUGAAAUUAAAGCAAUGAGAAACUGUUCCCUGGGGCAUGGCAGAAGAGACUCCUCUCCCUAAGUGAACUGAAGAAAGACUUAUUUUUAGAAGUGGUAGAAUGACUCAAUUCCCAGGUGUUGUCUCUUUACAUUGUUGGUGGGAAAGAAAGAGGGGCUGGGGGGAGGAAAGGUGUUGUAAGGUUUAUUUUAGUUCUUAUCAUUCUUCUUUUAAUUAUUUUAAUAAAAUGUUCUUUUUUUUUUAA